AAAUUUAAUAUAAAUCACAUAUCUAAUCGUUUAACUCAGGAUCUAAAUAUUUGAGUUGAUCAGUAAGACUAACUUUGGUAAAACGAUUGAUGUUGUCCGGUCUGUAUUCGCAAUUGUGGAUUAAUAUCUAAGUUGAUCAGUAUCGUAUCGCCAUGGACACAAUGUAUCUUCCUUUGAGUGUUUUCAUUUGUAUUGCGUAUUACGUGGAUUUUGGAUUAGUAGCUGCUGACAACUCACCAGCUUAUUCCGAUUGUGGGUCCUGUUGGAACCAGUACCACCAGGCAUUGUCAAAGUGUGAUAAAGGAUUUCAUCGCUUAGAUAAAACUGCAAUAGCGGUUUAUGAUUGUAAUACGACCAUCGUGCAGAUUGAUAAAUCAGAUAAAACGUGUUAUUGCUGUGGUGGCAUUGGUUCAAUUCCUUACAUGAGCACGUCAUUUAAUAUUGGAACGCUUGAAGUCCGAUCCGUUUGCGGACAUCGAUGUUUUGACUCCCGGGAAGAUGGACUGCGUGAAUGCGCCAACAGGAUCUAUCGCUCCGAUAAGACAAUAACUACAAAACAACUAUGCAGAUCACAGGCAAAUGAUGAACGAAUUGAAAAGACCUGUUAUUGCUGUGAGCUGUCAUAGGUACAUACUUAAAAUUUUGUGGUUUAAUUUAUAUUUCAAUAUACAAUAGUAGUAUGUUAUUCGACGUGUUUUCUAGUAUUCUUCUAUCACGCCGUCUUAUAGUAUGAAAACAUUCUAAAUUCUGUUUAUGGUUUCAGGAUAAACCUACACAUUACCUAAAAUAACAUCACACUUUUAUUCAAAAACCUUUUGAUGUAACACCAUAUAACUAAAAAAAAAUAAUCACUAUUAUGUUUAGAGUAGUUAGUACCUAGAUUAGAAUUAUUUCAUUCUAGCUUACUGCACAUAGUUCUCAGGCAAUAACGUAACCUCUGUCUACAAAUUUAUUAUUAUUUAAUUUAAGUUUUUUUUAAAAUCUUUAAUACAUAAAAUACGUAUACUAUACAUACACCAGUCUAUUUCAUUUCGACAAACCUGUAUAUUUUCAACUACCAACAAGAUCAACAACGAUACGUCGGACUUCGUCAUUAAAAAUUAAGUAUACAAUUUUAUUGUAGUACGAGAGUACUACAUCUUGUAUAAUGUGUUUAUACCUCGGAGUAUAAUAUGGUAGGUUAUAUUGUAACGAAAAUAUAUUCGUUAAAUCUUU